rnacentral:lncRNA from 1 species
AUGACCGGAGUUCAGGGAGCUGUUAAUAUUCAGGGAGAGGAUCAGAAGAAGCUCGAUGUCAUCUCCAAUGAGGUCUGUUACGUCACUGUCACUAGUACUGUACUUUUUCGCAAAUCAUGUCUCAAAUUGAUCCCAAUACAUUUAGACAAAAAUAAUAUAAUAAGUAGAGUAAAUUUUUGCUUGAAUUUUAACUGAAGAAGAAGAUUACAGUGACUUUUAUUUAUUUAUUUAUUUAUUUUGCGUCACUUUGGGAAAACAGGGUGUUGCGAAUUUUCACAAAUGAACAGCUCUUCAAAUCUUGCAUGAAAUAAUUAUAUGAUACCUAAUCGGAUACUUCAUUUAGUGAUACAUUCAUCCAUUUCUACUUGAAUUGGAAAAAAGAGUUGGGUGUUAACUAGUUGAAAAAUGUGGUGGAUUCAACAGGUGUUUUCGAAUUGUUUGAGAUCGAGUGGAAGAACUGGGAUCAUUGCAUCGGAGGAGGAGGACGUGCCGGUGGCGGUGGAAGAGAGUUACUCCGGCAACUACAUUGUGGUGUUUGAUCCUCUUGAUGGAUCAUCCAACAUUGAUGCUGCUGUUUCAACUGGUUCUAUUUUCGGAAUCUACAGUCCAAACGACGAGUGUCUCCCUGAUCUUGACGAUAACUCCACGGUAACUUCCCGAUCAACUUGACUUUUAAGGUCAAACAGAUUCCAAUCAAACGCCGAUUGUUGGCUCUUGAAGUGAAAAUAGAUGUUUGAAGCUAACAAUAGAAAUUAAUUCUUGUAUAUGCAGCUGGACACCGAGGAACAGAGGUGCAUCGUGAACGUAUGCCAGCCCGGAACCAACCUUCUGGCAGCCGGUUACUGCAUGUACUCAAGCUCCGUCAUCUUCGUGCUCUCCAUAGGAACCGGCGUUUAUUCA